CGAUGUAUACCGGUCAUCGAUCAGUGAAAACGAUUUGUUUUAGUUAGUCGAUCUGUUCACGUUAUUCAUACGCUCCUUUUUUCGUUUUCAUCUAUGGAGACGUAGAAACUAGAUACUGUAUUCCAUCUUCGUGACUUAAACGUAUUAAGUUACGGAUAUCCACUGUCUUUUACUCACGGAGAAUUUUAAAUUGUCCAAUAAUUUUGGAGUUUCUAAAUCUGCUUCCAAUAAUAUAUCUACUUAUUAUGUUUCUUCGCCGUGAUGUUCAGAUGCGAUAAGUAGACCGUAAACGUUUAUGUAUUCGUGGGAGAUUGAAAAGUGUAAAAAUAUACGGAUAUAGUAAAAGUUAUCAUAUCUACUUCGUAGAACGAGUAUAUCUAAAAUCCAUUUUUUUUUUUUUUACUUCACGUUCAUAAGAAUAUGAUGUUGCCUAGACAUUUGCAGUCUAGCGAUAGAUGUAGUUGGGCGACGAGCAUGUUAAGAGAUUUUUGCAAGUAAAGAUCGGUUCCAAGAAUAGGAUAUUAGGAUGCACAGUAACACGCUGCCAAUUGACUAUACAAUGACACGCAGCAAGAAUGUAUUCUGCUUGUGAAAUCUUUAAGUGUACAUACAUUAUCAUUGGAAUAGAAAGACUGAGGUAUGAGUCAUUAAAUAGUUGUUCGAGAAUUAUGAUAUAAUCACGGACUACUCAGAAUUAUUGAAAGGCGCCGUAGCAAUAAGGAAAUAACGUAUGUUUAUCUACUUAUAAGAUUAUUGCACGAUUAUUGUUGCCUAAUCCAGUGACUCCAUAUAGCGUAUUAGCGAAGAAAGAAUUUUUUCUUGGCGAAACCGGUUCCAAUCGACAAGAAUUAAUCAGAAAUCGAUAAUAAUCCGCUGCUGAGAGGUCGAGGAUAAAAGGAACGCCGAUUGAGCGUUUUCUCGACCGCGUGGAUAGUCGGCCACAAAGGCCGGAUGCCAUCGGCGGUGCACGCAGGUGGGCACAGUUCUAAUGCCAGAGACGCUUUGCAUUGCACGUGGCAUUGCAAGGCCAACCGGCCACAAGAAAUCGUCGUCGGGAAUAUCGGGGCCUGGCGACCAGUUCGAGGCGUAGAAAACACCGCCGCGAUGCGAACAGAUAUGUUUCGUUUCGAGAAAAAUCGGUUGCGUAAUCACGCGAUAUCGUCGCAAGAUCAUCGGCUACCUCCAUCAACCAACCAGUUUCCAUACGAGCAGUAUGUAGUCGUGUUCAGUCGAGACAGACUACUGUAACGGAGCGAAACGGAGACGUUCAGUUCGCAACGACGCCACAUAAAAUCGUCUGAUGUAAGUGGCAUGAUUUCACACCGGACCACUUCACCAAAGAUUAUAUUUCUGAUAAUUGAAGAGUUCGCGAGAAAGGCGAUUAAGUACAGUGUCGUAAAAAGUAAAAUUUUUAGUAUUUGGGCUUUCGUGAACUUCUUCUCGUUGUACAAAACUCAAGGUUUAAUAUGUUCCUUUCUUACAAUAUGAAUGCCUCUUCGUUAAUACUUAAAUUUUAAGAGAAGGAUUACGACUAUUUUUCCUCGGAAUACUUUAAUUGUUUUUCUUUCGCACGAGAAACCCGAGUUGUAGCGCAACACGUGAUGAAGGUUUUAUUGUAUGCGGGAAAUGUAGUUCAUAGAUUAAAUAGUGACCCAGAUGUAAUUGAACUUAAUCCGGAGAUACCAAGAUAUGAGGAAACAUGAUAUUAAAUGGACGCUCUCGGCAAACCGUUCGGCAAAGAUUUCUACGUCACCGGAAAAUCGCCCGCAGGUUUUGCCGGCUGAAUGAAAAACGAGGUCAGCUUCUCGAAGCGUUGCCUUUUCAAUCCUCAAAGAGUUCGUUGCCGAGUUUCUUAGCUUCUCGCCCCUGUAUGGAUGCUCGCGAGCGCGACUGCAUUUUCCCCGAGUUCUUCCAUUCCAGGCGAUACCACUUUUUUUUCACGUUCCCCGUCAUGACUUUCAUGGUCAUUAACAUCGAAGAAGGAGAGACUCGUUGCUAAAGUUUCUGCAGAAGACCCGUCUGUUUGUUUCAUUGUUUGUGCAAACUCCUGACCGAUUGUUUUUCACCUCUGAUUUUGAUCUAUAUCAUGACGAAGCGCAAAACCACGACUCGAGUUGGAAAGACAUAAUUGUCCUUAAUGCAACGACUAUGCGGUUGUAUAAUUUUUUAGUAUACCAUCAAAUUUGUUUUCUUCAUCUGUGUACGAAAUAACUGGACACUUUGUUCUUCUUUAUAGUGAAAUGUAAUGGAAAAUACAAAUAUGAUUUUUCUAUGGAAUAUCAUUUAGAGUCAUACGAUAGUUGGAUGAAAUAGCAUUAAAUUAUUGAAAUUUACCAGUCGCUUUUUCCAAUCCACGGAAAACUACUAUUAAUAAUGGCAAAAAUAUAAACAUGUAGACACUAUAAUAACAGUACUACUCACAUGCCUUUUCUUCAAGCUUCUUGUCGAAGUUUUAGCCGAGCUAGAAUUAAACAUAACUAACUGCAUAACGCUAAAUAACCAGGUACCAAAAUAAAAAAGUAUAAUUAUAGAAGAAAGACAGAAAAAAUUAACAACACCAGGAAUCAUUACUCCUAUCAUUAUUCUUAAAAGUGUUACAAUAUACCAUACCCUAUACCACACGAUCGUAAAGUUAAUUACCGCGUUCGCAACGCGUGACGUUUGCCUUUGCGUGACGCAUGAUCCUCACGAAAACACAUCUUCGACGUAGGACCGCGAACCACUAUGGAACCAGACUUGGAGCCGUGAACCAGAUUCUCCGAGUCAGUUAUUUACAGUUGGUCCCUAGUUCAUGGAUGAUUUCAGAUUUCCACGCAUCGACGCUCACGCCUCGCGAUAAUUCGUCGAAGAAACCCUCGUCAUGGCGAUUCCGUUUGGCGGAGAUUAUCACGCGGUGAUCUUCUCAGCGGGGAAAAUAAUUAGCCCGGAAAUUGCUUGGCAAAUUUCUCGGGGUUAGAAGAUAUAUAAUAGAAUAAUCGAUGUUCGUGAAACCACCGUGCCGGACGUUCACCAUGAUUCUCGGCUUAUAAAUUGCAUUUCUACCCUACCAACGGGGUGAAGGAAGGCAAAAGGCCAUUCCAGAGGGGGGAAAAAAUGUGUUGCCGCUUCCGUUCUCGUUUGCGGGGUCAUCGAUGAGCCGAGAGCAAUUGGACUUGGUUAUGGGCGAUUCGCGCAUUACGGAUGAUUUACGGUAUUCACGGACCGAUGCGUUGCUUGUGUGGGACGAAAUUAUCGAGAGAUAACUAGUUGGAUGUUACAGUGCGAUCCUAGGACCCGUCCAUUGUGACGGGACGCGGAGGCUAUGCUUUAUGAAAACGCGCUUAAUUGCCUGUUAAUCGCGAUACUGCACGAUGGAAAUGUCAGUGAUCGUGAGUAAUUAUAGAGCAGGGUUUAGUUUAUUUUUUGCUUGUUUCGUUGGAGUGCAUUGGGUCAAGAAGGUUAGCAGAAGACGGAGAUUUAGCGUGACAGGGAAGAGGCGUUGUUGAAGCGGCAUGGAAGAAUGAAUAAACAUUGUAAACGUUAUAGAACUCGUUGCGCAUAGUAGUUAGCACGGCUUUCGAUGGAAGCUUUCUCCUCGUUUGCAUUGAACUGGGGUUUAUAUUGCAAGAAUCUCUUUGGGUUGUCAAUAGUUAUCAGCGAGGUGUUAACGAAUAUUUUUAUUGAAACGACAAUGUAUCGAUUCGGAAACCAGGCCAUUUCUUUAUGCAGGUAUUUUUAUAGUUACGAGACUAAUAAUCGAAACAGUUGUAGAAACAGUUGUUCAGUUAGAUUUCCUCACAUAUGUCAAUAUGGUAUCGUUUAUUUGUGACGGAAACGGCACGUCGAGAAACGGAGAAUCUUCAAG